rnacentral:tRNA from 1 species
GCGCGCCCUGUCACGGCGGAGG